rnacentral:rRNA from 1 species
GGCCUUGACAUACUAAGAACUUUCCAGAGGAUGGGAUUGGUGCCUUCGGGAACUUAGAUACAGGUGCUGCAUGGCUGUCGUCAGCUCGUGUCGUGAGAUGUUGGGUUAAGUCCCGCAACGAGCGCAACCCUUUUCCUUAUUUGCCAGCGGGUCAUGCCGGGAACUUUAAGGAUACUGCCAGUGACAAACUGGAGGAAGGCGGGGACGACGUCAAGUCAUCAUGGCCCUUACGGCCAGGGCUACACACGUGCUACAAUGGUCGGUACAAAGGGUUGCUACCUCGCGAGAGGAUGCUAAUCUCAAAAAGCCGAUCGUAGUCCGGAUCGCAGUCUGCAACUCGACUGCGUGAAGUCGGAAUCGCUAGUAAUCGCGGAUCAGAAUGCCGCGGUGAAUACGUUCCCGGGCCUUGUACACACCGCCCGUCACACCAUGGGAGUUUGUUGCACCAGAAGUAGGUAGUCUAACCGCAAGGAGGACGCUUACCACGGUGUGGCCGAUGACUGGGGUGAAGUCGUAACAAGGUAAGCGUAGAUGA